rnacentral:rRNA from 1 species
UACAGAGGGUGCGAGCGUUAAUCGGAAUUACUGGGCGUAAAGCGUGCGUAGACGGUUAUUUAAGUCGGAUGUGAAAGCCCCGGGCUCAACCUGGGAAUUGCAUUCGAGACUGAAUAGCUAGGGUGCGGUAGAGGGAAGGCGGAAUUCCCUGUGUAGCGGUGAAAUGCGUAGAGAUGGGGGAGAACACUCGUGGCGAAGGCGGCCAGCUAGACCAGUUCUGACACUGAGGCGCGACAGCGUGGGGAGCAAACGGG